rnacentral:rRNA from 1 species
CCGGCGCACGGGUGCGUAACGCGUAUACAACUUACCUUUGAGAGGGGGAUAGCCCAGAGAAAUUUGGAUUAAUACCCCAUGGUCUUAUAAAACUACCUGGUUUAAUAAGUAAAAGCUCCGGCGCUCAAAGAUGGGUAUGCGUAUGAUUAGCUAGUUGGUGAGGUAACGGCUCACCAAGGCUACGAUCAUUAGCUGGUCUGAGAGGAUGAUCAGCCACACGGGAACCGAGACACGGUCCCG